UGAACAUGAUCCUCUCCAUCCUAUAGCCAGUCAAUAGUGUUAAACAAAUACGACAUGUCGCAUGAUGAGAGGACAGCAGUCAGCGAGCACCGCCGGUUUCCUGAUCUCUCUUCAUCUUCUUUAAAUAAUCCCCCGAUUCCUUUCUUCCGGUACUAAUCACACUCCCAGCUCCCAACUCUGAUCCAGUGUGGUUUUUCUAGGGUUUAAGCCCCAACCCUAAAGCUCCAAUCUUUGCCCCCUUUUCAGUUACCCUUCAUCUCCCUCAUUGUCAAUUCCGACCCAAUUCGGUGCUUCGCGGACUACGGUGGUGCCUCGGAGCUCAGCUCAACUUCAACUCUGCAAUUGCUUCCUCUCAGAUCCCAAAACCCCAGCUUCUCCGGUUGUAGGAGAUAUAGUGAUGGAGUGUGUUGGUUGAAUGAUGAGGUUGUUUGGUUGUUUUCGGAAGCAAUGUUGUAUUGAGUGUAUGGUGUUGCGUGAUAUGAGGGGUUGAAUAUGAGCGAUGGAGGUGGGGAGAGUGGAAGAGAGCAUCAGCAAUCCAGUAGAAUUGCACUGAGGAAACCGGGCGGCGGUGAUGACUUUGCAAGAGCUAUUUCGAAGAUAGCAGUAGCGCAGGUAUGCGAGAUAGUGGGGUUUCAGAGUUUCCAGUUGUCGGCUCUUGAGACGCUGUCAGAUGUUGCUGUUCAGUACAUUUGUAACAUUGGAAAGGCAGCGCAUUUGUAUGCAAACUUAUCUGGAAGAACGGAUUGUAAUGUCUUUGAUAUCAUUCGGGGGUUGGAAGAUUUGAGCGGGGCUCAGGGGUUUGCAGGCGCUUCCGAUAUUCAUCAUUGUCUUGCAAGCUCAGGGACUAUUAAGGAAAUUUCUCAGUAUGUUGCCGAAGCGGAGCAUGUUCCAUUUGCCUACUCUCUUCCGUGUUUCCCAGUUAUUAAGGACCGGAAGCUGACGCCAAGCUUUUGGCAAAGGGGGGAAGAGACUCCUGGAGCGCAUAUACCUCCUUGGCUGCCUGCGUUUCCUGAACCACAUACGUAUACCCAACCAACAAUGUGCGAUGAGAGAGCCACAGAGCCUGACAGUGCAUUUGAGCUGGAAAAACAACAGAGAAAUGUGGAGCGAACCAUUCUGAAUUUUCAGCAUAGGCUAGUCUGUAAUGGGAUGGUAGGACCCUCUGUUGACCCUGGGGAUGACGAAAAGGUGAAACAAGCAAGAGAGAGUAACCCUUUUCUUGCUGUGCCUCUGCAAUUUGGGGAGACAGAAGUAGCCCAGGUUACUCUUCCUUCUAAAAUGUCUGUCAAAGCAAUGGAGGAAGUUCUUAACGCUGAGAAGCAUGCCAAGGACAAAUGUUCUUCACUGCUGGAGACCUUUGCCCCAGCCAUUGAAGCGAUCAAGAACAAGUCAUUUGAAUUGGAGGAAGAUCAAAAGAUUUUUUCAACCAGGGAAUCCACUCUGCAAUUUAAAAUUGGGAUGUCUAAGAAGUCCUUGGGUGUGUUUCAGUCAGGGCCACAUAAGAAGGGUUUUGGGGAAGUGUACCCCUGGUUUGGAAGAGAAAAUGAAAAGGAUGAAAAGAAAAAGAGGGCUGAAAAGAUUCUCAAGAACUCCAUGGAAAACUCACAGGAGCUUGCCCAGUUGUAAACUAGGUUGUUCUUACUAGAGAUUGUACACUUUUUUAGGAGACUGGUAGUGGAAGCUGGUUCACAUAGUGUUGUCUGCAUACAGACACUAUAGAAUGGAUAUUACAAAGUUCAGCAGGGAAAUUUCCCACUAUAACAAGUUUUUGAGGAGAAGGCGAGUCGUCCCUGUAGAAUGUAGAAUCAAGAACAGAGAUAGGACUUGGUUGUUCUAAGGAAGCUUUCCCGGGCUCUGCUGUUAACCGGUCAUCAUUUAAUCCUACUA